AACACGUCAACCAAUCUCAACAGCCGCAGUGAGUGACAGCGCGUUUUACUUCCCCACUCUGCACAAGGGAGCUGUAGUUCAGGAGCAAUAGUUAUAAUCACAGAGUUUCUAAACUAUAUAUUUGGUUCUAUUCCUUUCAGGAUAUGUUGUUCUCUCAAGAACUGUAUUUACCAAGCCAACUGUUUAUUGUUGUUACAGUAGCAGGCAGCAAAGUUUUAGUUGACAGGCGGUUGUGUGCAUCUCUUUAUUUCAAUCACAUCUCUGAGGAUAGGCAGCACUGAAGCCAUUGGUGGCAAAUUGCAUACCAACAUUAGGAUGAGGAGGAGCACAAGACCAGUAAGGGUGAAGACCAACCACUGAUUCUGCCAGACCACAUCAACCCAAUCAUAAGGCACACCCCUCCUCCCCGUCUCAUCAACCAUGGCCAUCCGGCGUACACAGUGAGAUGCCUCUUGAGUCUUUGACCUCGGGGCAGGGGUUUCCAGUACCUGGUUGACUGGGAUGGUCAUGGCCCAGAGGAGAGGUGCUGGUCCCCGCUAAGGACAUCCUGGACCCGGCCCUCAUCGCCGACUUUCACCGCCGGCACCCCGGUCAACCAGGUAUUCGCCCAGUUUCACAGAUUAAAUAAAAUGUGGAACGACACACACGCUGCACUUUGGUCCUCUCAUUCCUACGACAGCCGUGGACAGAAUCUCCCACCACCAAAGGACCAAGCAGCGUGAUCAGGAGUGGACCUGGGAGGACAUUUUGAAUGGAAAGGGAUCCUGGACGUGGGAGGAGAUCCAGGCUGGAUGGGAUCGCCUCCCAUGGGAACAGGAGGAGGCAGCGAGAGCAGAACGGCAACGUUACGAGGAGCUAGCACGGCAACAACGGAAGCACGAGAGGC
rnacentral:lncRNA from 1 species